GACGAACGCUGGCGGCGUGCUUAACACAUGCAAGUCGAACGGAAAGGCCCUGCUUUUGUGGGGUGCUCGAGUGGCGAACGGGUGAGUAACACGUGAGUAACCUGCCCUUGACUUUGGGAUAACUUCAGGAAACUGGGGCUAAUACCGGAUAGGAGCUCCUGCUGCAUGGUGGGGGUUGGAAAGUUUCGGCGGUUGGGGAUGGACUCGCGGCUUAUCAGCUUGUUGGUGGGGUAGUGGCUUACCAAGGCUUUGACGGGUAGCCGGCCUGAGAGGGUGACCGGCCACAUUGGGACUGAGAUGCGGCCCAGACUCCUACGGGAGGCAGCAGUGGGGAAUAUUGCACAAUGGGCGGAAGCCUGAUGCAGCAACGCCGCGUGCGGGAUGACGGCCUUCGGGUUGUAAACCGCUUUCGCCUGUGACGAAGCGUGAGUGACGGUAAUGGGUAAAGAAGCACCGGCUAACUACGUGCCAGCAGCCGCGGUGAUACGUAGGGUGCGAGCGUUGUCCGGAUUUAUUGGGCGUAAAGGGCUCGUAGGUGGUUGAUCGCGUCGGAAGUGUAAUCUUGGGGCUUAACCCUGAGCGUGCUUUCGAUACGGGUUGACUUGAGGAAGGUAGGGGAGAAUGGAAUUCCUGGUGGAGCGGUGGAAUGCGCAGAUAUCAGGAGGAACGCCAGUGGCGAAGGCGGUUCUCUGGGCCUUUCCUGACGCUGAGGAGCGAAAGCGUGGGGAGCGAACAGGCUUAGAUACCCUGGUAGUCCACGCUGUAAACGGUGGGUACUAGGUGUGGGGUCCAUUCCACGGGUUCCGUGCCGUAGCUAACGCUUUAAGUACCCCGCCUGGGGAGUACGGCCGCAAGGCUAAAACUCAAAGGAAUUGACGGGGCCCCGCACAAGCGGCGGAGCAUGCGGAUUAAUUCGAUGCAACGCGUAGAACCUUACCUGGGUUUGACAUGGAUCGGGAGUGCUCAGAGAUGGGUGUGCCUCUUUUGGGGUCGGUUCACAGGUGGUGCAUGGCUGUCGUCAGCUCGUGUCGUGAGAUGUUGGGUUAAGUCCCGCAACGAGCGCAACCCUUGUUCACUGUUGCCAGCACGUUAUGGUGGGGACUCAGUGGAGACCGCCGGGGUCAACUCGGAGGAAGGUGGGGAUGACGUCAAGUCAUCAUGCCCCUUAUGUCCAGGGCUUCACGCAUGCUACAAUGGCUGGUACAGAGAGUGGCGAGCCUGUGAGGGUGAGCGAAUCUCGGAAAGCCGGUCUCAGUUCGGAUUAGGGUCUGCAACUCGACCUCAUGAAGUCGGAGUCGCUAGUAAUCGCAGAUCAGCAACGCUGCGGUGAAUACGUUCCCGGGGCU
rnacentral:rRNA from 1 species